rnacentral:tRNA from 1 species
GUGACUGUAGCUCAGAUGGUUAGAGCGUCGGACUGUGAAUUCGAAGGCCGCCGGUUCAAUUCCGGUCAGUCACCCCA